UACGUAGGGUGCGAGCGUUGUCCGGAAUUAUUGGGCGUAAAGGGCUCGUAGGCGGUGUGUCGCGUCGGCCGUGAAAACCUGCAGCUCAACUGUGGGCUUGCGGUCGAUACGGGCAUCACUGGAGUUCGGCAGGGGAGACUGGAAUUCCUGGUGUAGCGGUGAAAUGCGCAGAUAUCAGGAGGAACACCGGUGGCGAAGGCGGGUCUCUGGGCCGAUACUGACGCUGAGGAGCGAAAGCGUGGGGAGCGAACAGG
rnacentral:rRNA from 1 species